rnacentral:rRNA from 1 species
AGUGAACGCUGGCGGUAGGCCUAACACAUGCAAGUCGAACGGCAGCACAGUAAGAGCUUGCUCUUACGGGUGGCGAGUGGCGGACGGGUGAGGAAUACAUCGGAAUCUACUUUUUCGUGGGGGAUAACGUAGGGAAACUUACGCUAAUACCGCAUACGACCUACGGGUGAAAGCAGGGGAUCUUCGGACCUUGCGCGAUUGAAUUAGCCGAUGUCGGAUUAGCUAGUUGGCGGGGUAAAGGCCCACCAAGGCGACGAUCCGUAGCUGGUCUGAGAGGAUGGUCAGCCACACUGGAACUGAGACACGGUCCAGACUCCUACGGGAGGCAGCAGUGGGGAAUAUUGGACAAUGGGCGCAAGCCUGAUCCAGCCAUACCGCGUGGGUGAAGAAGGCAUUCGGGUUGUAAAGCCCUUUUGUUGGGAAAGAAAAGCAGCAGGUUAAUACCCCGCUGUUCUGACGGUACCCAAAGAAUAAGCACCGGCUAACUUCGUG